CUUUUAUCUUAAAUCAAAGCUAGCUAUUGCAACAGCUUCUUUUUUUUUUUUUUAUCAGAAAUGGGAAUUUCUCAGGUCACGAUGGUGUAUUUGGCAGCAGAAGUGGUGACUCUGUCAUAAAUAACUCUGAUGUUUCUACACCUCUGUUACACCCUUGCUUUUGCGAGUGCUGGAAUUCAGGAUACCCAGAAGUGAGUGAGCAUUGCUCUGACCAAAAUAGGAAGACCUAUUGCACAUUUUUGUAGCUGCCAGCAUAUGAAGGAGGACUCCCACUAAAGGUCCGAGCCCUGGCGGUGUG
rnacentral:lncRNA from 1 species